AUAUCUCUCCUAAAAAUAUGCAAGCCCUGUCUGGAGCCGCUCUAAACAUGCACGCAAGGUGGGCUCUGCAUUGAACACUGCCUGCAGGAAAACCACAGGAUACCUGAAGCCGACAAAGGUUGAACAUCUGUACGAGCUGGCAGGCAUCGA